rnacentral:rRNA from 1 species
UACGUAGGGUGCAAGCGUUGUCCGGAAUUAUUGGGCGUAAAGAGCUCGUAGGCGGUUUGUCGCGUCUGCUGUGAAAACGCGAGGCUCAACCUCGCGCCUGCAGUGGGUACGGGCAGGCUAGAGUUCGGUAGGGGAGACUGGAAUUCCUGGUGUAGCGGUGAAAUGCGCAGAUAUCAGGAGGAACACCGAUGGCGAAGGCAGGUCUCUGGGCCGAUACUGACGCUGAGGAGCGAAAGCGUGGGGAGCGAACAGG